GACGUAGGGCGCGAGCGUUGUCCGGAUUUAUUGGGCGUAAAGAGCUCGUAGGCGGCUUGUUGCGUCAGCUGUGAAAACCCGCAGCUCAACUGUGGGCUUGCAGCUGAUACGGGCAGGCUUGAGUUCGGUAGGGGAGACUGGAAUUCCUGGUGUAGCGGUGAAAUGCGCAGAUAUCAGGAGGAACACCGGUGGCGAAGGCGGCCUUCUGGACCAGCACUGACACUCAAGCACGAAAGCGUGGGUAGCAAACAGG
rnacentral:rRNA from 1 species